rnacentral:tRNA from 1 species
AAUUUAAAUAGUUUAAAAAAAAAUAUUGAUUUGUGGUGUCAAUGAUGAGAGCUAUUCUCUUUAAAUC